UUCCUUGAACCGCAUGGUUCAAGGAUGAAAGACGGUUUCGGCUGUCACUUACAGAUGGACCCGCGGCGCAUUAGCUAGUUGGUGGGGUAAUGGCUCACCAAGGCGACGAUGCGUAGCCGACCUGAGAGGGUGAUCGGCCACACUGGGACUGAGACACGGCCCAGACUCCUACGGGAGGCAGCAGUAGGGAAUCUUCCGCAAUGGACGAAAGUCUGACGGAGCAACGCCGCGUGAGUGAUGAAGGUUUUCGGAUCGUAAAGCUCUGUUGUUAGGGAAGAACAAGUGCGAGAGUAACUGCUCGCACCUUGACGGUACCUAACCAGAAAGCCACGGCUAACUACGUGCCAGCAGCCGCGGUAAUACGUAGGUGGCAAGCGUUGUCCGGAAUUAUUGGGCGUAAAGGGCUCGCAGGCGGUUUCUUAAGUCUGAUGUGAAAGCCCCCGGCUCAACCGGGGAGGGUCAUUGGAAACUGGGAAACUUGAGUGCAGAAGAGGAGAGUGGAAUUCCACGUGUAGCGGUGAAAUGCGUAGAGAUGUGGAGGAACACCAGUGGCGAAAGGCGACUCUCUGGUCUGUAACUGACGCU
rnacentral:rRNA from 2 species